rnacentral:rRNA from 1 species
GAUGAACGCUGGCGGCGUGCCUAAUACAUGCAAGUCGAGCGAAUGGAUUAAGAGCUUGCUCUUAUGAAGUUAGCGGCGGACGGGUGAGUAACACGUGGGUAACCUGCCCAUAAGACUGGGAUAACUCCGGGAAACCGGGGCUAAUACCGGAUAACAUUUUGAACCGCAUGGUUCGAAAUUGAAAGGCGGCUUCGGCUGUCACUCAUGGAUGGACCCGCGUCGCAGUUAGCUAGUUGGUGAGGUAACGGCUCACCAAGGCAACGAUGCGUAGCCGACCGGGACGGGUAAUGGGCCACACAGGGACUGAGACACGGACCAGACUCCGAGGGGAGGCAGAAGUAGGGAAUCUUCCGUGAUGGACUAAAGUCUGACGGGGCAACGCCGCGUGAGUGAUGAAGGGUUUCGGGUCGUAAAACUCUGUUGUUAGGGAAGAACAAGUGCUAGUUGAAUAAGCUGGCACCUUGACGGUACCUAACCAGAAAGCCACGGCUAACUACGUGCCAGCAGCCGCCGUAA